CUACGGGUUGCAGCAGUGGGGAAUAUUGCGCAAUGGGCGAAAGCCUGACGCAGCCACGCCGCGUGAGCGAUGAAGGUCUUAGGAUCGUAAAGCUCUGUGGAGAGAGAAGAAGAAAGUCGGUGAAGAGCCGACCUUGACGGUAUCUCUUUAGCAAGCACCGGCUAACUCCGUGCCAGCAGCCGCGGUAAUACGGAGGGGGCUAGCGUUGUUCGGAAUUACUGGGCGUAAAGCGCGCGUAGGCGGACUGGUCAGUUGGGGGUGAAAUCCCGAGGCUCAACCUCGGAACUGCCCUCAAUACUGCCAGUCUUGAGUUCGAGAGAGGUGAGUGGAAUUCCUAGUGUAGAGGUGAAAUUCGUAGAUAUUAGGAAGAACAUCAGUGGCGAAGGCGGCUCACUGGCUCGAUACUGACGCUGAGGCGCGAAAGCGUGGGGAGCAAACAGGAUUAGAUACCCGGGUAGUC
rnacentral:rRNA from 1 species